UGGUUAUGAGGAGUAAUAUGUGAGAGAAAUAUGAUGAUAAUUGAUCGAUGUUUAGGUACAUUAAGCCACGUUAAGCCUUUUCCUCGCCAUAGACACCAAUGAAGAAGAAAACGUUAUUGUGAGAUAACUUCUAUAAUCGUUGGAUUUCAGUUUAGUUUUUUUGAUAGGUUUAAGUGUUUAUGACAAGAUAUGGCCAUGGUAAAUAUGGUGAUGAUUGAUCGUUGUUUAGGUACUUUAAACGACGUUAAGCCUUUUCACGUUAAGCGUUUUAGAACGU